rnacentral:lncRNA from 1 species
AAGGAAGAGAGAAGCACCACUAAGACCAUCAUGGUUGAAGAGAGAAGCACCACUAAGACCAUCAUGGUUGAAGAGAAGCACCACCACCACCUCGUCCACCACCACAAGGAAGAGAAGCACCACCACCACCUUGUCCACCACCACAAGGAAGAGAAGAAGCACCAGCACCACCUCGUCCAGCACCAGCACCAGCACCAGCACCACCUCGUCCAGCACCACCACCACCACCACCACCACCACCACAAGGAAGAGAAGCACCACCACCACAAGCCUGUCGAGAGAAGCACCACUAAGACCAUCAUGGCUGAAGAGAAGCACCGCCACCACCUCGUCCACCACCACAAGGAAGAGAAGCACCGCCACCACAAGCCAUAAUAAAAGGCAUAAUAGUCUCUUGUAUACUGUUUGUUCUGGCUUGAUGGUGCUGAUUUGAGUUAAAAAAGAUAAUGACUAUGUUGAUGAUGACACAUUUUCUGCCUUGGGAACCAAUUAUAAUAUAGGAUCCGAAUAGUUGCUUUUAUCUUUAUAAUUUAUGUUUCACAUGGAAAGAUAUUCAAUUCUCAUCUUUGAUACAUGUCACUACUUUGUUGCAAUUCAGUCAAGUUUAUUCAUACUUGAACAAGGCGGUGUCCUGAAAAUAUGACAUCUAUUAGUUAUACAAUGUUUAUUGUUGCUUGACUAACUUGCAGUCUUGGGUGGUUAACUUGUGCAUUGAUCCAGCUUGAGUUAAGUACUUGGUUACUCAGCGUUUGCUCUGACAUAUAUUCUUCAGUAAAUGCGGCAGGCUGAAUUGUUUACAAAUUACCGGUUCAAUUGUUGCUGUGUAAGCGAUGUACUGCAACUCCUGCAACUUAUAUUGAUCGUGCUUUGCUGGUAUCGUCCCCUGUACUUGCUUGUCCUUGGUUUUCUAUUCUGUUAAACCUACAACUCCAAUUUUAAGUUCCUUUAUCCUGUGUGUUUCUCUUCUUUGCUGCUCAGUACUCCAGAACUAUGACCGUAUCCAUUAACCGUCCCUCCUCAUAAAUUACUACUAGCAGUGAAAAUCACUGGAGUCAUUUCUUGCUGCACUCUUGAAAAGCACUGUCAUGUACAAUUCCAUUGUACUUUACCUGACUUGCUGCCUUAACCAUCUGACAUUAGCAUGUUUCCGCUCAAAGUAUAGACCAAAAGAAAGGAAUUCUGAAAUCUUCUAUGGUUCAAUUGUCAUGAAUGUGAGUUUUCAUGAACAGACAACGUGGCUUUAACUGCUUAUUUGCUUUUGCCUUUUUGUGUAGGAAACUUUUGUUUCUGGUGUUGAUGGUCUCAACUUAACUUCCAAUGAAGACUCGUACAAAUCCAAGGCAACUACGAAAUUCAUGGAUUCAAUUGAUGGUGCUAUUGAUGAGUAUUUGACCUUUAACAAUCCCGAGUCAUGCUGUGAGAAGCUUGAGGAUUUGCUUACACAUGGGCACCUUCAGGGGCCACUGAGACCAAAGCCAGAAAAGUCACCUCAAUGCAUAAGGUUACACUUGUUUCAUCAUCAAUCUCUACAUGCAUACACCACACUUGCUUCAGCAUACAGAGUCCGUGCUAGUGACCUCUUGGCUCUUAAUUCUGAAAAUCAUCAGCAUCAUAUGGAAGCUUUCACUCUGAGCAGAAUAAGUGCAGCCUACUCCUUGUUGUUGGCUAUAGUUACGCAUCAUCUUUUUCUUUCUGAAUCUUCAAUAAUUGUCUGUGUUGCGAAUUUCUGGAAAAAUGCCGGGGAGUCCCUAGUUUAUCUCUUUAGAAGCUCAGCCUGGGUUACAUUUUCCAGUUUGCACCAAUCUGUUUCUGAAAAUUCAUCCAUUCUAAGCCAUAAAUGCUGAAGAUCAAUUCUUUUAUUAAUACUGAAGAUCAAUAUGCAAUGUUUGGGGACAUAAGCAGGCAGCACAUAAAUUGUAUUGUCAACAUAACAGAAAAAGUAUGGAGCUUCCUUAGUCAUGAAAGUCGACAUCUGCAAGAAGUUAAAGAGCUCAUUGAUUUUUGAUGGCUUCUCACAGUGGAAACUCCCCUUGAUCUCGGAACUCGUAUUACUUGCCGGGAUAGCAGAACUGUUUCCAGACUUCAAAAAAAGGAGCAUGCCAACCUAGAGAGAGCAUAUCUCUUUCAGCUUGGUCUCCACUGCUUACACUAUGCAACAUACCUGUCAAGCAUCUGUUAUGGCCUAAAUUCCCUGUUGAUAGGUGAAGUUUGUCAAUCUUCUAUACUCUGAAGGUAUGUAUAGUGGCUGGUUAGUUCAACCAAUUUGGCUGAAAAUAUUAUCAAAAAAUAGCGAUGUGAAAAGGUCAUCAAAUAGAUGGUGAUCAAAAAGCUCAGUUCAUCACUCGUAUAUACCGUAUAGUUGAGUGUAUCUUUCCAGGAUUGAAUUCUCAUAGAUGGUGAUCAAAAAGCUCAAUUCAUCACUCGUAAUGCAUGCAAGCAGGAGCCCAAUAUUUCGUCCUCUUUCCAUUUGUUUUUUUUGGGCCACAGUCCUAGAAAUAAGCAUUUCAUGAGUUAAUUUUGGUCUACUGAAUUGAAUAAGAGUGAACUUUUGGGCCAAAUCAGGCUCCAAUUUCAAAUGUGGGUGCUGUUAUUGGGCCUCAAGAGAUUGGAUAAAGCCUGCCCACCUGACACCUAAGUAUCAAGGUCAAAUGACCUCAAACAAUCUAAUAUCCGUUCGCCAGUACUUUUAUUUGUUUAUUUUUUCUUGCCUUCAUAUUACACCCUUCUCGCCUUUAUAUUGUCUGAUUCAGAAUUCAAAAUCUGAAUCUCAUAAUUGAAAGGACGCUAAGAGCUUUUUUUUGACAAAUUUUUAUUUAUUUAUUUAUUACAUUCUUUCAUUCCUGUUCAUACCUUUUUCUUGCAGUCAUAUUAUACCCUUUUCUCCUUUGUACCGAGAGACUCAGAAUUCGAAAUCUGAACCUCAUAAUUGAAAGGACGUUAAGAGCCUAUUUUGACAACUGAACAAACCCUAAUAGUUUUAGUACUUACUUAAAAGAGUUUGUCAAUUUGUUGUUGUAGAGAGCUACAAUGACUUUAUGAAGGUAAAGUGGACAUUAAGUUUGGGCAGUGUCGAAUUUUACCUUUUCUUUUUCCCUUUCUUUUUGGUAGUAUGAUAUUAACUCGACAUUAUAAGAUUUUCAUGGGGGGUGGUUUGAAGUCUCCAUUUUGUUGCAACUAUUCAAAGAGUCAUGAAAUCUGUGAUUUCAUUUUCCAAGUGUGAAUAUUAGGUGGAUGGACAAAUCAACCUUCUUUUUUCCAUUCUUGGGGCAGAAUUUCUUCUCCCACGGAUGUUUCCUAUCCAUAUCACGAUAAUGUACUCUUCUUGAGCGAGUAAAUUAAUUGGUCCCCAAAUGGAAAUUUAGUUGGCACGUCUCACCGACCACGUUUCCUUAACAGCGAAGAAAAGGAAAUAUACAAAUGGAAAAUAAUCUGAAUCUAAACCACCCCAGAUAUCAACAUUCAAGUGGUGGAUAGUCAAUGCAUUUGGAUCAUUCAUGCAUCCAUCUUCCAACUUUGCUUAAAAUUGUGAACAAAGGGGUGGCAAACAACAUCAUAUCCAUGUGGUGGAGGCCAUACCUGUGAAUUGACCCUUCCAAACAGGCGUUAGAGCACAAUUGGUCAGAGAGGAGAAACUUGAAGGUGCAUAUGGCUAUGAGUUACAUCUGUAAAGUAAUAUCAACAUUAAUCGUCCAUUUGUAUCAAUCAUGGAUCAAUUGACAAAAAAAAACCCAAGUUGCAUCCUGUAUAGUUUGUCUGGGGAUGGGGUCUAUGUCAAUGAAUUGGAUGAAAGGAGAAGAAACUUCAAACUAUGAAUUUAUAAUUAGUGAUUGAGCUUAAUUCUUCAACCCAACCACACCAAACUUCUUGGUUAUUGGAGAACCAAAUCAUAUAUAUAUAUAUAUAAUAAAGUCGUAUCCUCAUUUAUCGUUUCAUGUUUUCUUUUUCUUAUGUGGCUUAACGAGAUAGCAAGUAAUUUUCUACGUGGCUUGCUUCUUUUUUGUUUGGAUUUAUAUCAAUUCUUAUUUCCUAUAUUAUAUGAUUGGUCCGAUAAAAUAUAUCAAUUCUUAGUCCGAUAAAAAUUGUUAGUCCGAUAAAAAUUGUGAUACAAAAUGGAUCAAUUGGAAAAAAAACCCCAAGUUGCAUCCUGUAUAGUUUGUCUGGGGAUGGGGUCUAUGUCAAUGAAUUGGAUGAAAGGAGAAGAAACUUCAAACUAUGAAUUUAUAAUUAGUGAUUGAGCUUAAUACUUCAACCCAACCAUACCAAACUUCUUGGUUAUUGGAGAACCAAAUUAUUUAAUAGUCGUAAGGUGGGAAAAAAAAAAGAAUUGCUUAAACAAUCUAGAAUACUUCUUUUUUUGGUAAAUAUCUAGAAAAUAUCUCUUUGGCUAUCUUGACCAAGAAAUACUGGUAGACCAUUUAACUUUCAAAAUGUUGAUUAUUGAUCACUAAGAUAUGUUUCAACCGCUUAAUCAUGAUUUAAUAGAGUUUUAAUUUCCCACUAUCCCUUGUCAAUCAGCAAAAUUGUGUUUGAUGACACGACUAAUUACCCUUCCAUAUAUAUAUAUAUAUAUCCUCCUUUUUCUAUCAAUUUUUUUUUUCAACGCCCGUUAAUCACGCUCCUAACACUAUCCAAUAACUAAGAUUUCUAGCCGAUUACUACUAAAUCAUCGCCUGUAGGCUAUAAAUAGCCUCCUCUCCACAAUCCAACAAACAGAAAAUUACCACCACUCAGAUCAGAUAUUUUUCAUAAGUUGUCCUAUUAUCAGUUUUACACCACUAAGACUAUCAUGGCUGAAGCCUUCCACCACCACAACCCCUUCCACCACCACAAGGAACAGACGGCUGCCGAAGCCGUUGGCUACUCCGACACCACCUACUCUGGAGGCUACGGUGGAGAGCCAGCACAUGAUUAUGAGAAAGAAA